rnacentral:lncRNA from 1 species
ACUUGUGGGUCAGUCCGUGUCCUACUUGUGGGUCAGACCCCCCACUUAUGGGUCAGACCCCCACUUGUGGGUCAGACCCCCCACUUAUGGGUCAGUCCGUGUCCUACUUGUGGGUCAGACCCCCCACUUAUGGGUCAGACCCCCCCCACUUAUGGGUCACCCCCUGCCCCACUGCCAGCUCAGUCCGUUCUCCGCCCCGUCCCUCGCCGUCCCUCCGUGGGUCCGGGCCUCCGUGGGGCGGCGGCGCCGUGGGGCAGCGGUGGGGGGGUCACUGUGGGGCGCCGUGGGGCGGCGCCGUGGGGCAGAGCUCGAGGGAAAGGGCCUCGAAAGCCUCCAACAUGGCGGCGCGGACCCGCUCCGUCAGCGCCGGGACGUCCGUGGGGCCCAGCCCCCGCGUGGGGAGGGGGGGCAGCACCUGGAUGACGCACUCACCUGGGGGGCAGGAUGUGGGGCUGACCCAUAGCGACCCAUAGAUCCGCCCCAUAGCGACCCAUAGCUGCCCCAUAGCGACCCAUAGCGACCCAUAGAUCCAGCCCCUAAGGCUGCCCCAUAGCGCCCCUGCCCCCCAACCUCGUCGUCAGCAACAACCAGAGGUCCCCUGAACUCCUGGGUAGGGCUGCCCCAUAGAUCCGCCCCAUAGCGACCCA